rnacentral:rRNA from 1 species
AUUGAACGCUGGCGGCAGGCCUAACACAUGCCAGUCGAGCGGACGAAGGGAGCUUGCUCCUGGCUUCAGCGGCGGACGGGCGAGUAAUGCCUAGGAAUCUGCCUGGCCUUUGGGGAUAACGUCCGGUCACGGGCGCUAAUACCGCAUCCGUCCUUAGGGAGAAAGUGGGGGAUCUUUGGACCUCACGCUAUCAGCUGAGCCUAGGUCGGAUUAGCUAGUUGGUAGGGUAAAGGCCUACCAAGGCGACGAUCCGUAACUGGUCUGAGAGGAUGAUCAGUCACACUGGAACUGAGACACGGUCCAGACUCCUACGGGAGGCAGCAGUGGGGAAUAUUGGACAAUGGGCGAAAGCCUGAUCCAGCCAUGCCGCGUGUGUGAAGAAGGUCUUCGGAUUGUAAAGCACUUUAAGUUGGGAGGAAGGGCAGUAAGUUAAUACCUUGCUGUUUUGACGUUACCAACAGAAUAAGCACCGGCUAACUUCGUG